GCAAGGGGACAAGAACAUGCUUAACCCGGAGACCCUUUUAUCUCUCGGAGAGCAGAAAGACGCCGGGGCCCGGAUGCCCGGCAUCCUCGUCCCAGCUGGGCUAUUAACCAGCUGAGCAACUUGAGCAAAUCGGUUCCGCUCCCUGGGUCUCCACCUCCUCAUCUUUGACCCUCUCUGGCCACUGAGGUCUCCGGAAAGAGCCGGGGCAGCUUGGAGAGCUGUCCCCACACAAGAGCUUUGGCUUUUGGCUUUUACGAGCUUCACCUCGACAACCCUGCGCCCACCUCCCCGUCGGGAGACAGACCGCGGCCACGUGAACGCCCUGAGCUCUGCGUGACCCUACCCUGUCGGAACAGGGAAACGUCUGCCAAACCUCGGCUAGAUGACUGGCGUGUCUGAGACCAGGAGGAGAAGCUUCCGGAACACAGCGUAACAAUUGAGCGAAAGCACGGCGGGGCACGGCAGACGUGGGCUCCAGCCUCUCCCCCACCAGCCCACACACCCCCGGCCUGGCCUGGGCCAGCAAGGCGUUUGCGGGCGGGCAGGGUUCUCAGGCCGGAAUGACCCCCGAGGAGGCUCCCAGACCCUUCACGAGGCCCCCCGCUUCGGAGGACAGAAGUGUGUGGACAGUUCUAAGCAAAGCUGCGGUGGCCUUUGUCCAAUAACACAGAGAGCUCUGGAUAUCUGAAAUCCAGCAAGAGAUUUCUUGGAGUAAGGGGUAUGGGCAGGGGGUGGGGGAUGAGACUUUCCUCGGUGACAGAAUUCAUUAAUGGGAUUAAUUAAUUAAUUGAAGAGCUCCUAAAUUACUGAUAUCCCUUAAGACAGAAAAUACGUGGCUCAGGGGGAGGGCGUAUGGCCUACGAAAUAUUGCUCCCAAUUUCCUUUCUGAAAAUACACACAAACAAGAUAAACAUUCCCCUCACCCCCAUCAUAUCAGACCUUUAAAAAUCCCUCUCUGGUUAGAAAGGCUUUUUUUUUUUUUAAUCUUUAUUUUUGACAGAGAGAGAGACAGAGAGAGAGAGGUGGACACAG